rnacentral:rRNA from 1 species
CCUACGGGUGGCAGCAGUGAGGAAUAGUUGUCAAUGGCCGAGAGGCUGAACCAGCCAAGUCGCGUGAGGGAAGAAUGUCCUAUGGAUUGUAAACCUCUUUUAUCAGGGAGCAAAGUCACCCACGUGUGGGUGUUGGAGAGUAGCUGACGAACAAGCAUCGGCUAACUCCGUGCCAGCAGCCGCGUUAAUACGGGGGAUGAGAGCAUUAUCCGAAUUUGUUGGGUGGAAAGGUCGCGUAGGCGGUUUAUCAAGCCAGCGGGAAAAUCGGGGAGCUCAACUCCAUCCAGCAGUUGAAACUGAUGAUCUUGAGUGGGCGAGAAGUAUGCGGAAUGCGUGGUGUAGCGGUGAAAUGCAUAGAUAUCACGCAGAACUCCGAUUGCGAAGGCAGCAUACCGGCGCCCGACUGACGCUGAAGCACGAAGGCGUGGGUAUCGAACAGGAUUAGAUACCCGUGUAGUC